rnacentral:rRNA from 1 species
GGCGAACGCUGGCGGCGUGCCUAAUACAUGCAAGUCGAGCGGACCGGCUUGGGGCUUGCCUUGAUUCGGUCAGCGGCGGACGGGUGAGUAACACGUGGGCAACCUGCCCGCAAGACCGGGAUAACUCCGGGAAACCGGAGCUAAUACCGGAUAACACCGAAGACCGCAUGGUCUUCGGUUGAAAGGCGGCCUUUGGGCUGUCACUUGCGGAUGGGCCCGCGGCGCAUUAGCUAGUUGGUGAGGUAACGGCUCACCAAGGCGACGAUGCGUAGCCGGCCUGAGAGGGGGACCGGCCACACUGGGACUGAGACACGGCCCAGACUCCUACGGGAGGCAGCAGUAGGGAAUCUUCCGCAAUGGGCGAAAGCCUGACGGAGCGACGCCGCGUGAGCGAAGAAGGCCUUCGGGUCGUAAAGCUCUGUUGUGAGGGACGAAGGAGCGUCGUUCGAAGAGGGCGGCGCGGUGACGGUACCUCACGAGAAAGCCCCGGCUAACUACGUG